rnacentral:rRNA from 1 species
AUGUCGUCUCCCACGGCCGUGGAAGCCGGCACGAAGGAAAAUACUGCUGCCUCCACAGCCCCAAUGGUGAUGUCGUCUCCCACGGCCGUGGAAGCCCGUCCUCAGGAGGUGCCGGUGCCCCCGGCGGGCCUGACCCCUCCGGCGCCUAACCUUGCUACGACUGCUGAGGUCGACCAGCCUCCGGAGCCCCUGGUCCUCCCUGAGGCUGAGGUUUCUUCUGUCUUGGCACUGAGGGCGUCUCCUCAGUUCGAUUUCACCAAUACCAAAAAAAAACUUUGCUCCCAUGCUACUCUCUGCAAUGAAGAUAUACUAAAGAUGUUGCCCAUUUGCUAUUUUUGGUGGAUGCUAACCCUGUUGUACUUAACAUGCCUAUCCAUGUACUUACGCAGGGCCAUAACAGACGAUGCUGUUGUUUGCCGUUGA